rnacentral:rRNA from 1 species
GAUGAACGCUGGCGGCGUGCCUAACACAUGCAAGUCGAACGGACAGACAAUGAGCUUGUUCCUCUGACGUUAGCGGCGGGCGGGCGAGUAACACGUGGAUCACCUACUUAUUUUUCUGGGAUAAUUACGGAAAACAGGUUCUAAUACCAUAGAAUAUAUUGAACCGGAGUGUGCAGUAGUUAUUUACAGUUUUUCUGUCACUAAUAGAGGAUUCCGCGCCGGAUUAGCUAGUUGGUAAGGUAACGGCCUACCAAGGCGACGAUGCGUAGCCGAGCUGAGAGGGUGAUCGGCCACACUGGAACUGAGACACGGUCCAGACUCCUACGGGAGGCAGCAGUAGGGAAUCUUGGGCAAUGGGCGAAAGCCUGACCCAGCCAGACCGCGUGAGUGAAGAAGGCCUUCGGAUUGUAAAGCCCUUUUAUUGGGAAAGAAAAGCUGUAGAUUUAUACCCCGACGUACUGACGGUACCCAAUAAAAAAGCACCGGCUAACUACGUG